UCCAGCUMCAAUAGCGUAUAUUAAAGUUGUUGCAGUUAAAAAGCUMGUAGUUGGAUUUCGGAAGGUCCUUAGCAAUCCGYCCCUUCGGGGAGCGGGUUGCUGSCCUCCUAUGUUCCUAACGGUCCUCAUCCGCGAGGGUGGGGAAUCAACCGCUAGGAUCGUUUACUUUGAGGAAAUUAGAGUGUUCAAAGCAGGCGUAACUCGCCUCCGAAUACGUUAGCAUGGGAUAAUGGAAUACGACUUCGGUCUUGUUUCGUUGGUUUCGCUUGGCUGAAGUAAUGAUUGAUAGGGACAGUUGGGGGCAUUAGUAUUUAGUUGUCAGAGGUGAAAUUCUAGGAUUUACUAAAGACUGACCAAUGCGAAAGCAUUUGCCAAGGAUGUUUUCAUUAAUCAAGAACGAAAGUAGGGGGAUYGAAGACGAUCAGAUACCGUYGUAGUYUYUACCGUAAACUAUGCCGACCAGGGAUCCGGAGAGUUUGCAUGGAWGACUCCCCGGGCACCUUGUGAGAAAUCAUAAGUGUUUGGGUUUUGGGGGGAGUAUGGUCGCAAGGCUGAAACUAAAGAAUGACGACGCGCCACARUUC
rnacentral:rRNA from 1 species